AUAGCUGUAGCCUUGGUCGAUUUUAGAGCGAUUUGAAGCUGAGGAAAUGGCGGCGAGCAAUGUGCCCUCUAAAGAGGCAGGCGUGCUUGGCCACGAAGGCGCAGUGCUUGCUGCGCACUUCAAUGGCGAUGGCAACUACUGCCUCAGCUGUGGCAAGAUGGAUUGAUUGAGGCCGACAGUGUAAGAUUGUGCAACAAUUCUGUUGCUAAAGAAUGCCGAAGGAUGACUCCAGUUUUGUGCAGGAACAUGUAUUCUUUACAAGCUGAUAACAGUUAGCAAAUGGAAGCUGCUUCUUGUGCUGAAUAAUCACUCAACAUGGUGAAUACGUGGUGUCAAUUGAGGGACAACCCCAAAUUAUGUUCUUGUGGUGGUGAUAGACAAAUCUUUUAUUGGGAUGUCAACCGGUCGUGUAAUACAAAAAUUUCGUGGUCAUGAUAGUGUGAAGCAAAGGCUAGAGUCUUCUUAUAAGUGCUAUGUUAUUAUAUGCCUCACUGUGCAAAACAAAUUUUUAAGUAGAGGCAUAUCUCAUUGUCGGCGAGCAAGCCUCUUUUGGACCACGGAGGAUUGUUGAUGUAUUGGAGGGGAAUGUAUAUAUUGUAAGCUAGCGGAGAUCUCACUCUAGUGUGUUGACUGGAAGGUAAUGAUA